GCAGCCACAGUUGGGCCGACUAAGGGGAAAAUGGUUGGCACAACCUUGGCAGCCAUAGUUGGGCCAACCUUGGCUGCCAUAGUUGGGCCGACCAUGGGGGACAAUGGUCGGUACGACCUUGGCAGCCAAGGUCGGUCCAACCUUGGCUGCCAUAGUUGGGCCGACCAUUCUUCCCCAUAGUCGGCCAAACUAUGGCAGCCACAGUUGGGCCGACUAGGGGGAGAAUGGUCGGCAUGACUUUGAAAACCGCAGUUGGGCCGACUACGGGGAAUGUAGUCAGCAUGACUGGCAGCCGAGUAUAUCGAUGGUCGGUAUAUCAAGGAUUACAGAAUUAUUUUUCUCAAAAGAAACACGAUCCCAGAGUUGGGCCGACCAUGGUAAAUAUUUGCACCCAAAGUUGGGCCGACUAUGGCUGCCGACGUCGGCAGUCACAGUUGGGCCGACCAUUGCAGCCAUAGUUGGGCCGACUAUGGGGGAUUAUGGUCGGCACAACCUUGGCAGCCAUAGUUGGGCCAACCUUGGCUGCCAUAGUUGGGCCGACCAGGGGGGGUAAUGGUCGGUCCAACUAUGGCAGCCACAGUUGGGCCAACCAUGGCUGCCAUAGUUGGGCCGACCAUGGGGGUAAUGGUCGGCACAACCUUGGCAGCCAUGGUUGGCCCAACUGUGGCUGCCAUAGUUGGGCCGACCAUUCUUCCCCAUAGUCGGUCCAACUAUGGCAGCCACAGUUGGGCCGACUAAGGGGAAAAUGGUUGGCACAACCUUGGCAGCCAUAGUUGGGCCUACCUUGGCUGCCAUAGUUGGGCCGACCAUGGGGGACAAUGGUCGGUACGACCUUGGCAGCCAAGGUCGGUCCAACCUUGGCUGCCAUAGUUGGGCCGACCAUCAUAAAGUAAAUUUCUCUCCUACCAUUGACAAAUGUAAAAUGUUUUUGUUAAUUUACUUGUAAUUGAUUAAUUUAAAAAGAAAAAAGGUUAUAUGUGAUUAAUUUAUUAUUUUGAAUUACUAACUUUAAUUUUUUUCAAGCUGUAGCUUAUAACAUUUAUUUUUCUCCGUGACUCAUAUGUCAUUGCGUAGUGUAGUGGUUAGCGUAUUAGACUGCGGUGCGUUAGGUUGCGAGUUCGAUCCCUGCGAGCGUUAAAAAUUUUAAUUUGUAUAUAUGUAUGUUUACGAUUGCGUUUAGUGUUUAAGUAUAUAAAAUAAAUGUAUAAUGAAUUUAAAAUGAUUACUAAUAUAUGUUAUUUGUAUAACAAAUUUUUAUAUUUUAAUGUUUAUGGUCGGCAAAAUUUUAGCUGCCAAGGUCGGCCCAACUAUGGUACCCAUAGUUGGCCCGACUUAGUCGACCAUAGGUCGGCCGACGUUAUCAAUUCGCUAGUUGGCCCGACC